GUCGACGAGAACGGGUAUUAGCUUGCUAAUACUGUCAGCUAAGUGGCGCACGGGUGAGUAAUAUAUAGGUAACAUGCCUUUUACAAAGAAAUAACAGUUGGAAACGACUGCUAAUGUCUUAUAUGCCUUUAGGACGUAAGUCUGCAAGGGAAAGAUUUAUCGGUAAAAGAUUGGCCUGUACAGUAUCAGUUAGUUGGUGGGGUAAUGGCCUACCAAGACAAUGACGCUUAACUGGUUUGAGAGGAGACUCCUACGGGAGGCAGCAGUGGGGAAUAUUGCACAAUGGACGAAAGUCUGAUGCAGCAACGCCGCGUGGAGGAUGACACAUUUCGGUGCGUAAACUCCUUUUAUAUAGGAAGAUAAUGACGGUACUAUAUGAAUAAGCGCCGGCUAACUCCGUGCCAGCAGCCGCGGUAAUACGGAGGGCGCAAGCGUUACUCGGAAUCACUGGGCGUAAAGAGCGUGUAGGCGGGUUAAUAAGUCAGAUGUGAAAGCCAAUAGCUCAACUAUUGAACUGCAUUUGAAACUGUUAACCUAGAGUAUGGGAGAGGUAGAUGGAAUUUCUGGUGUAGGGGUAAAAUCCGUAGAGAUCAGAAGGAAUACCGAUUGCGAAGGCGAUCUACUGGAACAUUACUGACGCUGAGACGCGAAAGCGUGGGGAGCAAACAGGAUUAGAUACCCUGGUAGUCCACGCCCUAAACGAUGUACACUAGUUGUUGCUAUACUAGAUAUAGCAGUAAUGCAGUUAACACAUUAAGUGUACCGCCUGGGGAGUACGGUCGCAAGAUUAAAACUCAAAGGAAUAGACGGGGACCCGCACAAGCGGUGGAGCAUGUGGUUUAAUUCGACGAUACGCGAAGAACCUUACCUGGACUUGACAUAGUAAGAAUGUUUUAGAGAUAGAACAGUGUCUGCUUGCAGAAACUUGCAUACAGGUGCUGCACGGCUGUCGUCAGCUCGUGUCGUGAGAUGUUGGGUUAAGUCCCGCAACGAGCGCAACCCUCGUCGUUAGUUGCUAACAGUUCGGCUGAGAACUCUAACGAGACUGCCUGGGUAACCAGGAGGAAGGUGAGGACCAGGGCUACACACGUGCUACAAUGGGGUAUACAAAGAGCAGCGAUACGGUGACGUGGAGCAAAUCUUAAAAAUAUCUCCCAGUUCGGAUAGUAGUCUGCAACUCGACUACUUGAAGUUGGAAUCGCUAGUAAUCGUAGAUCAGCAAUGCUACGGUGAAUACGUUCCCGGGUCUUGUACUCACCGCCCGUCACACCAUGGGAGUUGAUUUCAUUCGAAGCGGGGAUGCUAAAUAGCU
rnacentral:rRNA from 1 species